GAUGAACGCUGGCGGCGUGCCUAAUACAUGCAAGUCGAGCGAACAGACGAGGAGCUUGCUCCUUUGACGUUAGCGGCGGACGGGUGAGUAACACGUAGGUAACCUACCUAUAAGACUGGGAUAACUUCGGGAAACCGGAGCUAAUACCGGAUAGUAUUUCGAACCGCAUGGUUCGAUAGUGAAAGAUGGCUUUGCUAUCACUUAUAGAUGGACCUGCGCCGUAUUAGCUAGUUGGUAAGGUAACGGCUUACCAAGGCAACGAUACGUAGCCGACCUGAGAGGGUGAUCGGCCACACUGGAACUGAGACACGGUCCAGACUCCUACGGGAGGCAGCAGUAGGGAAUCUUCCGCAAUGGGCGAAAGCCUGACGGAGCAACGCCGCGUGAGUGAUGAAGGUCUUCGGAUCGUAAAACUCUGUUAUUAGGGAAGAACAAACGUGUAAGUAACUGUGCACGUCUUGACGGUACCUAAUCAGAAAGCCACGGCUAACUACGUG
rnacentral:rRNA from 1 species